CGUAGGGUGCAAGCGUUGUCCGGAAUUAUUGGGCGUAAAGAGCUCGUAGGCGGUUUGUCACGUCGGAUGUGAAAACUCGGGGCUCAACCCCGAGCCUGCAUACGAUACGGGCAGACUUGAGUGUGGCAGGGGAGUCUGGAAUUCCUGGUGUAGCGGUGAAAUGCGCAGAUAUCAGGAGGAACACCGGUGGCGAAGGCGGGACUCUGGGCCAAUACUGACGCUGAGGAGCGAAAGCGUGGGGAGCGAACAGGAUUAGAUACCCUGGUAGUCCACGCCGUAAACGGUGGGUGCUAGGUGUGAGGAACUUUCCACGUUCUCCGUGCCGCAGCUAACGCAUUAAGCACCCCGCCUGGGGAGUACGGCCGCAAGGCUA
rnacentral:rRNA from 1 species